GAUGAACGCUGGCGGCGUGCCUAAUACAUGCAAGUCGAGCGAACGGACGAGAAGCUUGCUUCUCUGAUGUUAGCGGCGGACGGGUGAGUAACACGUGGAUAACCUACCUAUAAGACUGGGAUAACUUCGGGAAACCGGAGCUAAUACCGGAUAAUAUUUUGAACCGCAUGGUUCAAAAGUGAAAGACGGUCUUGCUGUCACUUAUAGAUGGAUCCGCGCUGCAUUAGCUAGUUGGUAAGGUAACGGCUUACCAAGGCAACGAUGCAUAGCCGACCUGAGAGGGUGAUCGGCCACACUGGAACUGAGACACGGUCCAGACUCCUACGGGAGGCAGCAGUGGGGAAUCUUGCACAAUGGGCGAAAGCCUGAUGCAGCGACGCCGCGUGCGGGAUGAAGGCCUUCGGGUUGUAAACCGCUUUCAGCAGGGACGAGGCGAAAGUGACGGUACCUGCAGAAGAAGCCCCGGCUAACUACGUG
rnacentral:rRNA from 1 species